rnacentral:rRNA from 3 species
GGGGCUACCCGCUGAGUUUAAGCAUAUCAAUAAGCGGAGGA